rnacentral:rRNA from 1 species
UAGUUGAUUCUGGCUCAGAACGAACGCGGGCGGCGUGCCUAACACUUGCAAGUCGAGCGAGAAAGCCCCCGCAAGGGGGUGAGUAAAGCGGCGAACGGGUGAGUAACACGUGGGCAACCUGCCCUUCAGUCAGGAAUAACCCCGCGAAAGCGGGGCUAAUACCGGAUAACGUCCCUCGGGGGCAUCUUCGGGGGACCAAAGGGGGCGAGCGCAAGCGGCUCCCGCUGAUGGAUGGGCCUGCGGCUGAUUAGCUAGUUGGUGGGGUAAUGGCCUACCAAGGCGACGAUCAGUAGCCGACCUGAGAGGGUGACCGGCCACACUGGGACUGAGACACGGCCCAGACUCCUACGGGAGGCAGCAGUGGGGAAUAUUGCGCAAUGGGCGAAAGCCUGACGCAGCGACGCCGCGUGGGUGACGAAGGCCUUCGGGUCGUAAAACCCUGUCGGGUGGAACGAAUCUCCGCCCUCUGAAUAGGGGGGCGGAUUGACGGUACCACCGAAGGAAGCCCCGGCUAACUACGUGCCAGCAGCCGCGGUAAUACGUAGGGGGCGAGCGUUGUUCGGAUUUACUGGGCGUAAAGAGCGCGUAGGCGGUUCGAUAAGUCGGAGGUGAAAUCCCUCGGCUCAACCGAGGAUCCGCGUCCGAUACUGCCGAACUUGAGUGCAGGAGAGGAGAGCGGAAUUCCGAGUGUAGCGGUGAAAUGCGUAGAUAUUCGGAGGAACACCGGUGGCGAAGGCGGCUCUCUGGACUGCCACUGACGCUGAGGCGCGAAAGCUAGGGGAGCAAACGGGAUUAGAUACCCCGGUAGUCCUAGCCGUAAACGAUGGGCACUAGGUGUGGGAGGUAUCGACCCCUUCCGUGCCGCAGCUAACGCAUUAGGUGCCCCGCCUGGGGAGUACGGCCGCAAGAUUAAAAC